rnacentral:lncRNA from 1 species
GGCACACAAGCUGAGUAUGUAGUUUAAUUAUAUUGUUAGGGUUUCUUUGUCAAGAGUUUGAAUACAUGGAAUAUGUAAAAGUACUCUUGUCCCUGUGACCAGCAGACAGAAGAACUUCACUACGGCAGCGUACGAUUCAUACGGACCCAGGCAGACACUCUUCACUCAGACGUCAGCCCAGCUCGGCCUCACAGGAAAGAGGAGGAGAAUGUUGUAUAUGCGACUACAAACUUCAUCAGGGCCUCAGGAACAAACCAUCAGGCAGCUGUGGAGGAUCCAUCUGCACUGUACAGCAGAGUUAUCAAAAGUCACUGAGUGUGAGGACAUCAUGGUUCUGUGGUUUGUAUUGAUGGAUAUUUUCUUCCCUGAUGAUUUGACUAGAACACAGCGUUUGGGCAACAAUAUUUAAUUAAAACCUCAUUCAUAUUAAUGAGAGCAGACUGAACAUUAGAGACGCCUCUGUGUGUAACACAUGCAGUUCCAAAAAUGACCACAACACCUACCUACAACUGUUUAAACAUGAAUGGAACAUUAUCACCUUCAUGAAGGCAGAAUUUAUUACAAGACUGUUGUGUUUAACUGUAUUUGUUUAGCUUUGUUGUAACUGUUUAUAUCACAAGUCAAAUAUCCUUUGUUUGUAUUCACAUGCUCAUUUUCUGAAUUUGUUUAAUUUGAUUUUUUUUUCCUUCAUGGCUUUAUUGAUAGCUCAGCUGAAGAUGUGACAGGAAACAGGAUGAGAGCGAGGGGGAGUGACAUGCAGCAGGCCGCAGGCCGGGAAUCGAACCCGGGGCCGCUGCAGCAAGGACAAAGGCUCUGUACAUGGGAUGCUUGCUUUACAAACUGAACUGAACGGCACCCCCUGAAUUUGUAUUUUUACUUCACUGAAUUCACAGCUCACUGUAAUUAACAGUCUAUAUUGCUGUUUGUGUCUAUCUACUUUGAAAACUCUGUCUACACUCGUCACAUUUCAUCAUCCUGCAUGGAAAAUAUCAAGUAAGACUUAAAAGAAAAACUCUUCUCUCUCACCGUAUGUUGGCCAAAUGACCAAAACUUUACUUUUUGUUAUUUCUCUCACAUUUACAGCUUUUUUACUUUGAAUAUGUAUUCAGG